GGCAACUUGGCCGAGCGGUUAAGGCGGUAGACUCAAGAAUUAGCAUUCUUUGCCCUAUUAAAGGGGUUACAUUCUACUCACGAAAGUGGCGUGAGUUCGAAUCUCACAGUUGUCA